GCGAAAGCGUUAAGCAUUCCACCUGGGGAGUACGCCGGCAACGGUGAAACUCAAAGGAAUUGACGGGGGCCCGCACAAGCGGAGGAACAUGUGGUUUAAUUCGAUGAUACGCGAGGAACCUUACCCGGGCUCAAACGUAUGACGGCGUAGUUGGAAACAGCUAUUCCCUUCGGGGCGUCAUACGAGGUGCUGCAUGGUUGUCGUCAGCUCGUGCCGUGAGGUGUCGGCUUAAGUGCCAUAACGAGCGCAACCCCUACCGACAGUUGCUAACAAGUAGCGUUGAGGACUCUGUCGGGACUGCCGGCGCAAGCUGCGAGGAAGGUGGGGAUGACGUCAAAUCAGCACGGCCCUUACGUCCGGGGCGACACACGUGUUACAAUGGCAGGUACAGCGGGAAGCCAUGCGGCGACGCAGAGCAGAACCCGAAAACCUGUCUCAGUUCGGAUUGGAGUCUGCAACUCGACUCCAUGAAGCUGGAUUCGCUAGUAAUCGCGCAUCAGCCAUGGCGCGGUGAAUACGUUCCCGGGCCUUGUACACACCGCCCGUC
rnacentral:rRNA from 1 species